GAGAAGAACGCAGCGAAAUGCGAUAAGUAAUGUGAAUUGCAGAAUUCAGUGAAUCAUCGAAUCUUUGAACGCACAUUGCGCCCCUUGGUAUUCCGAGGGGCAUGCCUGUUCGAGCGUCAUUAUAACCCCUCAAGCUCAGCUUGGUGUUGGGGCCUGCUGCACUGGCAGCCCUUAAAAUCAGUGGCGGCGCCAUCUGGCUCUAAGCGUAGUAAUUCUUCUCGCUAUGGAGUCCUGGUGGAUGCUUGCCAUCAACCCCCAAUUUUUCUAUGGUUGACCUCGGAUCAGGUGGGGAUACCCGCUGAACUUAAGCAUAUCAAUAAGCGGAGGA
rnacentral:misc_RNA from 1 species